GGUUAUGCCCCUCCCCAGAAGCACGAGUGGCUUUUGAAUUGGGAUUGAGCGAGGCGCGUGGGACUGCCUGGCGAGCGCACUAGUUCCCUCAGCGCAAGGUUCGGUCUACGCAGCGGUUGUCUAGGGGAAUUUUACUCGAUGCGGGGGAAAUCUCGGGGCAGGCUGCGUUGCUAGGGACGAUAACCAAUUAAAUGCUAUUUGAGUAUUCGGCGUAUCACAUUCACUUGGCUGUACGAAGUUGUGUGGUUAUGAUCCUCUGUGUACUUAUAAUAGUAAUGUAAAAUAGUAUCAACAUUUCAUAAUCGUAGAAAGGCCGAAAACUGGUAACCCACAUUUUCUUCUGCUUAAACUAUUUUAUAUUACUUUAACGAUCGUUGAUUCUUUUAAUUUCUGAUCACGGUAUUAUAUUUGAGAUUUUCAUUUUAAAAAAUAUAACAAAAUGAAAACGAAACGAAAAGCAGAGAUCUGUGUCAAAAAUAAAGAGAAUGUGAGAGCGACAACGGAAUGGGUCGUGCCUAGGGAAAUUUUCCGUGCGCGGGGGAACUUGUUAAAUGGCGUUGUGUUGUUGGCCGAGUCACUUCGUGCUCUCCAAUCCGUCUUCAAUGACACAAUGAGCAAAGGCAUAAGGAACUUGGUGUCGAAACGAAAGAGAAGAUUCAAAGAAGAUGGGUACGACUUGGAUCUUAGCUAUAUCACAGAUCGACUUAUUGCAAUGGGCUUCCCUGCUCAGAAGUUGGAGGGUGUGUACAGAAACCAUAUUGACGAUGUUUCCCGCUUCCUAGAAGAGAGGCACAAGGACCACUAUAGAAUAUAUAAUUUGUGCUCAGAAAGAAAUAGAUCGUAUGAUGUCACAAGAUUUCACAAUCGGGUUAGAAAUUUCCCUUUUGCUGACCAUAACCCACCGCCUCUGAUUGACAUUGAGCCGUUAUGUAAAGACAUGGCGGACUGGUUGGCUGCAGACUCAAGGAAUGUGGCUGUUGUACAUUGUAAGGCAGGAAAGGGUCGAACAGGUGUCAUGAUUUGCUGCUAUCUCCUUCACUGCCGUUCCAAGAGCUUAGCACAAGAAGCACUUGAUUUUUAUGGAGAUAAGAGAACUUUUGAUAGAAAGGGUGUUACUAUACCUAGCCAAAGAAGAUAUGUGGACUACUAUGCCAAACUAGUCAACUCAAACUUUAAUUAUAAUCCACCUUACGUACGCCUUAGGGAAGCUGUAAUGAAUGCACCGCUAUCCAGUGUAAAUUCGGAGGUGUUCCUUGUUGUGAGCUCUCACAGUAACAAAAAGGGCUAUAACUCUCAGCCUGCAGAAGUGAAGAAAGGAAAGGAAAUGAUUCAACUUGUAGUAAGAGAUGAAGUGGCCCGACCCAUCCAAGGAGACAUCAAGAUUGAGCUCAAGAGAACAAACUUUGUCAGAAGAACGGACAAGCUGUUCAGUGCUUGGCUAAAUACGCACUUUAUAUUUGAAGAAGGAAAGAAAGUAACCAAUGGGUGUCAGAUAACAGCAUCAGACCAAAACAACCACAACAACACUUGCAACACACAAAAUAGACACAGAAGCAAUAGUUUUCGCGUGGCGAAGCAUGACAACUAUAGGCGCAAGAGACGUGAGUCUGGUGAUGUGAGGGCGCUCCCUGGAGGCCUCGGUUGUGGUGGUGGGGGCAGACAAGACUCAUGUGAGAAUGAGAGGCACAUUCGAGGGGAGGUUGAGAGCAAGAGCCUUCCCACAGGCCAUCUUACCCAUCUUACUGAUGAGGAGUGGACCCCUAUUGGCAAUCUCAGUCCCCCUCCACAUCCCCGCCAGCAAAGUCGCCACCGCCGUCGCCACCACACCCAGCACCUCCCUGUAUGUGGUGGAGCUCGAGACUCUUGGGAGGACUCUAAAAAAGGAGAGCAGGAGGUACUGGUAGUCCUCACCAAAAAUGAGCUAGACAAGGCCAACAAAGAUACACAUCACAAAUUGUUACCAGAAGACUUUAGGAUAAAACUAUGGUGGCUGGUUACAUAUGUUAACAAAGGAGGAAGCAAUGCCUUAGAGUCUCGGGAAAGUGGUUCGACUCCAAGCACAAUCACGCCCUCUGGUUCCUCGUCUGACACCGAUGACGACGAUGAUGAUGACGAAGAAGAGGGAAGUGACUGGGACUCAGAUGGCCACUGCCCAGAGCGCUACGUGGGUCGUUAUCGGCUCAUGUCGGAUUGUUCGGCUGCUCACCCGAAUCAUUACACGAUGCCGGAGGGCCCCACAUGACCCUAGCCCCCCCCCACUUCCACACAUCCUGCUUCCCUAUGACACAAACAUGAACUACAACCCCGGAAGGAUCGGAGGUGCUGCUGUGACCUCACUCACCUCUCCAAGGGCCUGCUGGUGGAGUGGUAGUUCCCCCUCUCAUCCCCUCACCUCACUUCUGGCUCCUCAGCUCUGGUCCUCUCACAACUCAUCUCCGCAUCAAUUGUACAUUCUUCAAACUGAAGACAUUUUAACAUUAAAUUUUUUAUUUUUC
rnacentral:misc_RNA from 1 species